UACGUAGGGUGCAAGCGUUAAUCGGAAUUACUGGGCGUAAAGCGUGCGCAGGCGGCUUUGCAAGACAGAUGUGAAAUCCCCGGGCUUAACUUGGGAACUGCAUUUGUGACUGCAUGGCUAGAGUGCGGCGAGAGGGGGAUGGGAAUUCCGCGGUGUAGCAGUGAAAUGCGUAGAUAUGCGGAGGAACACCGAUGGCGAAGGCAAUCCCCUGGGCCUGCAC
rnacentral:rRNA from 1 species